rnacentral:rRNA from 1 species
CCUACGGGUGGCAACAGUGAGGAAUAUUGGUCAAUGGGCGCGAGCCUGAACCAGCCAAGUAGCGUGCAGGAUGACGGCCCUACGGGUUGUAAACUGCUUUUAUGCGGGGAUAAAGUGAGUCACGUGUGCCUUUUUGUAUGUACUUUAUGAAUAAGGAUCGGCUAAUUCCGUGCCAGCAGCCGCGGUAAUACGGAGGGUCCGGGCGUUAUCCGGAUUUAUUGGGUUUAAAGGGAGCGUAGACGGGUUGUUAAGUCAGCUGUGAAAGUACGCGGCUCAACCGUAGAACUGCAGUGCUUACUGGCUGGCUUGAGUGCGGUGGAGGUAGGCGGAAUUCGUGGUGUAGCGGUGAAAUGCUUAGAUAUCACGAAGAACUCCGAUUGCGAAGGCAGCUUACUAAAACGCCACUGACAUUGAUGCUCGAAAGCGUGGGUAUCAAACAGGAUUAGAUACCCUAGUAGUC